GUGUGAGUGAGUGUGUGUGUGAGAGUGUGUGAGUAAGGGAGAUGCUGCUUCUUGAUAUGAUACAAGUGUGGGCCCACCUGGCAGCCUAAGGUGGGAUGUGGAAGCCAAGGGUGGCUGCAGCCCCCAGUGGCUGGAGAAGGCAACUUCCCUGACCCAGAGUUGCCGAGUGGCUCAGGGACGGGCCAGGGCCACGGCCAGGAGCCAGGGAGGAGGCUCUGAACAGGCCUUUCAUCCAUGGCCAGAGAUGCCUGGGAAGCACCAUGUGGGGCAGACCCCUUAGAGUCCGAGCAAGAGCCUCUCCCGCCUGUAACUACUCUACAGCCACGACGGCUCUGGCAGAGCCCGAGAAACCCACAAAUACAUCCAUGAAUAUUUAUUCAGCCAGUAAAAAUGUAACAUGCACCAGUUCUAUUCCAUGAGGCUUCUAGGUGCUGGACACAGCAGUGAACCAAGCAGAAGACGCUACCUUCCCAAGCUGCCCGUGACAAUGGAACAAUGGCAGCUCAAGUCAGGAAGGCUGCAGGCAUUUCCCAAUAUGCUGUCUCACGAUGGCCCUGCCACAGCCCUGCGAGAAUCUCCACUCACCAGCAAGGGAAACAGAGGCUCAGAAAGCCCAGCGAGUCAGCCCAAGUGCAGAGAGCUAGGUGACACACCAGAUGUCAUCCAGUCUCUCUGUCACAUCCUCACCCUCAAGGAGAUCAGCAAACUGAGGUCUGGAGAGAUGAAGUGACAGGCACAAGCGGAAGCUUCAGGGAGGAAGGCUGCGGGCUGGAGAGAACCUGAGGCUGAGUUUCUUCCAUUUCAUCCAGCGCAUUCACCAAAGCACCCUGUGUGCCGAGGGCAGCGGGGGCCGUACCCUCCCGGAGCUCACGAAUGGGUGAGGGAGAAGCCCCUAGGCGGAGAAACUUACAAUCCCAUGUGGACAUGUGAACUCAGUGAGAGGAGGUGCUGCGGUGAGGGCCACUUCUUGGAGAUUUGGGAAAAGGAGCAGGAUGUUUCUGGCAGUGAGGCUGGGAAGGGCAUCCUUCAUAGCAGAGGGAAGCUGUGAGCAGAGCAGAGGCUGAGGACGACUCCACCCAAGGGGACCGGUGGGGCAGGGGCUGUGCCAGGGCUUGACCCGGAGCUCUGGGCUGUGUCCAGUUCCCUUCAAAUGAGAAAGAAGGCGCCAGAGGUGCAGGGGACAGGGGAUGCCUGCCAGCCAGGCCCCAUCUCCUCUGCUGUUUAGGGACUCGGGUUGGAAUUUCCACGACACUAUUUGGGGGAGGAUGAGGGAGCUGGUGGGAAAUGGGUUUGGGGGCGCGAGGCUUGAUAUCAUUUCUUCCGAUAAAGAGGCAUUGGCUCAGCUUUUCUGUCUUCUGCUUAAUCACUUUCAGAGGCUCAUUAGACUUAGAGGAAAUACACUUGCAAACUCAAACCACAUGCCACCCUCAGAGUACAUACUCCCAUCCCCAAAGCACACGUACCUCAGAGAAAGGAUCAUUGGUUCCCAAGAACAGGAGCCAUUCCGUGGAAGGGGUCACCUGCCUGGAGACUGCAGUGCUCCGAGGCCGUAGAGCAAGGUGGGUGGAAGCGGGUUUGAGAGUUUCAGGGACGGGCUGACUCUCACGGGGCCCUUACCACGUGCCUGCUGCUGUUCUCAUUGCAUUGCACGUAUUAACUCACUUAAGUCCCACCUGAAGGUGGCCACCAUCAUUGUUCCCAAAGAGCAGCUAGGCCCAGACAUGUUAAGUAACUUGCUUCAGAUCACAUGCAGCCAAGUGGCAAAGCCAAAAAUUGUCCAUAGUCAGGCCACCCGGGUUUGCAGCCCAGCUCUGCCAUUGACGAGCUGUGUGUGUUUGAACAAGUUACUCAGCCUUGCUGGUCACUCUUCUCCUGUGUGAAGUACAUGUAGCAAUUACAUCUGCCAACGGGGGGAUGAUUGAAGACCGGAUACACCAUGGGCCUAACACGGUGCCUAGGAUACAGUAAGUACCUGUCAAUUUAAGAAACAGCUGACUAGCUGAGGUCCCACUGAGAUGCCACCUCCUCCACAAGGCGUCUGUCCCUGAAGCUACUAAAGAUCACUCUGUUCAGGUUGGGCAGCACCAGGAUGUCUCCUCUGCAUCCCUACUGUACUGUGGCUAUUUUAUUUGACAAAUCUUCAUAUAGGACUUCCUGUGGGUC
rnacentral:lncRNA from 1 species